CCUACGGGUGGCAGCAGUGGGGAAUAUUGGACAAUGGGCGAAAGCCUGAUCCAGCCAUGCCGCGUGAGUGAAGAAGGCCUUAGGGUUGUAAAGCUCUUUCGGCGGGGACGAUAAUGACGGUACCCGCAGAAGAAGCCCCGGCUAACUCCGUGCCAGCAGCCGCGGUAAUACGGAGGGGGCUAGCGUUGUUCGGAAUUACUGGGCGUAAAGCGCACGUAGGCGGACUGCUAAGUCGGGGGUGAAAUCCUGAGGCUCAACCUCAGAAUUGCCUUCGAUACUGGCGGUCUCGAGUGCGGGAGAGGUGAGUGGAAUUCCCAGUGUAGAGGUGAAAUUCGUAGAUAUUGGGAAGAACACCAGUGGCGAAGGCGGCUCACUGGCCCGCAACUGACGCUGAGGUGCGAAAGCGUGGGGAGCAAACAGGAUUAGAUACCCGUGUAGUC
rnacentral:rRNA from 1 species